AUGGAGGCAACGCAGGGAACUGAAACAUCUUAGUACCUGCAGGAGAAGAAAAUAAUAAUGAUUCCCUUAGUAGCGGCGAGCGAAAUGGGAAGAGCCCAAACCAUCUAUGUUUAGGCAUAGAUGGGGUUGUAGGACUCACAUAACGGUAUAUAAAUUGAAGUGGAAUCAAUUGGAAAGUUGAGCCAUAGAGGGUGACAGCCCCUUACACGUAAGCUUUAUAUAUUAGUGAGUAUCCUGAGUAGUGCGGGACACGAGAAAUCCUGUAUGAAUCUGCCGGGACCAUCCGGUAAGGCUAAAUACUCCUGAGAGACCGAUAGUGAACCAGUACCGUGAGGGAAAGGUGAAAAGCACCCUGAACAAGGGAGUGAAAUAGUUCCUGAAACCGUACGCUUACAAGCGGUUGGAGCAGCUUCGUGCUGUGACAGCGUGCCUUUUGCAUAAUGAGCCUACGAGUUAGUCGUCACUAGCGAGCUUAAGAUCAUUGAUGAUCGGAGGCGAAGCGAAAGCGAGUCUUAAUAGGGCGCGUAGUUAGUGGCGCUAGACGCGAAACCUUGUGAUCUACCCAUGGUCAGGUUGAAGUGGCAGUAACAUGUCAUGGAGGACCGAACCCGUUGACGUUGAAAAGUCUUGGGAUGAACUGUGGGUAGGGGUGAAAGGCCAAUCAAACUAGGAAAUAGCUCGUACUCCCCGAAAUGCAUUUAGGUGCAGCCUUAUACUUAUUGAUUUAGAGGUAGAGCUACUGAUUGGAUGCGAGGGCUUCAUCGCCUAUCAAAUCCAGACAAACUCCGA
rnacentral:rRNA from 1 species